UACGAAGGGGGCUAGCGUUGCUCGGAAUCACUGGGCGUAAAGGGUGCGUAGGCGGGUCUUUAAGUCAGGGGUGAAAUCCUGGAGCUCAACUCCAGAACUGCCUUUGAUACUGAGGAUCUUGAGUUCGGGAGAGGUGAGUGGAACCGCGAGUGUAGAGGUGAAAUUCGUAGAUAUUCGCAAGAACACCAGUGGCGAAGGCGGCUCACUGGCCCGGUACUGACGCUGAGGUGCGAAAGCGUGGGGAGCAAACAGG
rnacentral:rRNA from 1 species